AGUCACAGAACUAUGGAGUUGGGGGCUCUGAGGUUUCAGGCACCUGUCUCUGGGAAGGUGGCUCGCUGUUCCAUCCCUUGUAGAGUUUUCUACUGGGUCUCCGGUGCAAGCUUCACUCAACCAAAACAGGCUGUCUUUCACGGUCCCACAGCAUACCACCUUGCUGGGAUCAAAAAGGGCUCUUCACUUUUGUUUAGGAUUAAGUUAAUUCACCUUGAGACAUUAUUCUUUACAGUGUGGCUCUUGAAAUAUGCUACAUUCACACUGAGUAAGAUCUGUUUUGAGCCAGUCUUUGAAGUCUGACCCAUCUGCAUGCUUACCCAGUAUAUGUGCAUACCAGGAGCUUCUGGUAGGCUCUUGGGAAAAGCAACUGUUUUCUCACUGGGGCUCCAGUUCUCUGCAGCUUCCACAUGAGGUGGCUUCUUGACUAUUUUCUCCAUUCUAGUGUCAACUCCUCUCCAAUCAACAUACGGCUGCAGGACUUCAAGGCUAAGGCAGCAAGAAAAGAAAUCCUUCCAUAUUCAAGUAUUUGAUUUGGAAUUUGAGACUUGUAUACAUGAACUUUCCUAGGCUUGUGUAAACUGUUCAGACCAAACCGCCUCUGGUCACCUGGCCCUUAAACAGAGGAGCAUUGCAGAAAAAGGGGACUCCACACGGAAGGACAAGCAGUGAUUUGAGGCCUUCCAGGACCGUCGUGCUGCAGCAUUGUAUGGGCCACAUUUCUGUUGCUGAGACAGAAUGCCUUGACAGAAAGGAACUUAGGAAGAUUUGCGCUCCAAGUUCUCUGAUAGAGGUACAAUCUGCCACCAGUUUUCUUCCAGACUACAGCACUCUAUGAAGCAAGAGGAAACAUACUUUUAAUAAAAUCCUGUUAAUUUG
rnacentral:lncRNA from 1 species